AUUGAACGCUGGCGGCAGGCCUAACACAUGCAAGUCGAACGAGUGGCGGACGGGUGAGUAAUGUCUGGGAAACUGCCUGAUGGAGGGGGAUAAAUACUGGAAACGGUAGCUAAAACCGCAUACCAUAAGAUGUGCCCAGAUGGGAUUAGCUUGUUGGUGGGGUAACGGCACACCAAGGCGCCGAUCCCUAGCGGGUCAGAGAGGAUGGCCAUGCGCACUGUAAUUAAGACACGGUCCUGGCGCCGCCGGGAGGCAAAAGUGGGGAAUAUUGCACAAUGGGCGAGAGCCUGAUGCAGCUGUGCCGCUUGUAUAAAGAAGGCCUUCGGGGUUUAAAGUACUUUCAGCGGGGAGGCGUUACCCGCAGAAGAAGCAACGGCUAACUCCGUGCCAGCAGCCGCAAUAAUUC
rnacentral:rRNA from 1 species